rnacentral:misc_RNA from 1 species
CUACCAUUCAGUUGUUCUUGCGCUUGGGUUUCCUAGUGUUUUUUCCUUUGUAAAAGAGUCGGUAACGGGACCGAGUGAAAGAGGUUGACUUCUAAACCGAAGGAUAUGUGGACCAGACUGACCAGUUAGGGCUUAACAGCCGCUUUGGUUUUUGCCAUAAUUAGUUCGGCUUUCACCGGUCAUCCUGUUAAGCAAUGAAGUGGAAUAGACCGGUUUGGCGAAUUCGGUAAAAGGCAGAAAUCACAACGGGAAGGGUAGGGAUCACUCUCUGCCAUUUUUGUUCCAUUGAUAUUCAGGGUCGGG